CUGCUGCCUCCCGUAGGAGUCUGGUCCGUGUCUCAGUACCAGUGUGGGGGACCUUCCUCUCAGAACCCCUACGCAUCGUCGCCUUGGUGGGCCGUUACCCCGCCAACAAGCUAAUGCGACGCAUGACCAUCCGUAGCCGGAAUCGCUUCCUUUAAACCCACAGAGAUGCCUCCAUGGGUUGUUACGCGGUAUUAGACGGAAUUUCUUCCGCUUAUCCCCCUGCUACGGGCAGGUUUCAUACGUGUUACUCACCCGUGCGCCGGUCGCCGG
rnacentral:rRNA from 1 species